CCUUCACGCAACACACUUGUAACAUCAUAUACUCUGUCUCUCAGUUGUUGCAGAUGCACACAGUGUCUUCAUUCAGACCAAUUCCCCAGUCACAGCUGAUGCACAAGGAUCCACUCUACAGGCUUCCAGUCAUCCUGGUGUAACAGAACAGACACAGCAUGCUGUUUCCGCAGCUGAACAGUACAACCCAUCUGGUCAGGGUCCUGAAGGUGCAGAAAAUGUGGAACUGGAGGAUACCUGCUGACUUCCAUAUGAAGCCUCGAGUCAAGUUUCUACGCUACAGAUUUCAGUGUACGGACCAGUCUGCAUGGCAGAGAAACAGUGAUCCAGCCCACUAGCAAAUCUAGUUGUUUGUGUCUAUGUUUGUUUGUUUGAACUUUGUCUAUUUAAACUUAAAGAUGACACUGUAAGUAAACGUUUUGCGCACUUGUUAAUAGAUGUUUUGUUUAAUUCGUUGCAUAUAUGACAAAAAGACGAGGGUAUUAAGGAAAACCCUCUGAAUAUGGCUCAUACAAAAGUGUCAUCCCUAUGAAUAUCAUUGUACAAAAGCUC
rnacentral:lncRNA from 1 species